rnacentral:rRNA from 1 species
AUUGAACGCUGGCGGCAGGCCUAACACAUGCAAGUCGAGCGGAUGAGAGGAGCUUGCUUCUUGAUUCAGCGGCGGACGGGCGAGUAAUGCCUAGGAAUCUGCCUGGUAGUGGGGGACAACGUUUCGAAAGGAACGCUAAUACCGCAUACGUCCUACGGGAGAAAGCAGGGGACCUUCGGGCCUUGCGCUAUCAGAUGAGCCUAGGUCGGAUUAGCUAGUUGGUGAGGUAAUGGCUCACCAAGGCGACGAUCCGUAACUGGUCUGAGAGGAUGAUCAGUCACACUGGAACUGAGACACGGUCCAGACUCCUACGGGAGGCAGCAGUGGGGAAUAUUGGACAAUGGGCGAAAGCCUGAUCCAGCCAUGCCGCGUGUGUGAAGAAGGUCUUCGGAUUGUAAAGCACUUUAAGUUGGGAGGAAGGGUUGUACGUUAAUACCGUGCAAUUUUGACGUGACCGACAGAAUAAGCACCGGCUAACUCUGUGCCAGCCGCCGCGGUAAAAC